rnacentral:tRNA from 1 species
GGGUUGGUGGUUCAGGGGUAGAAUCCUCACCUUCCAUGUGGGAGGUCUGGGUUCGAUUCCCAGCCAAUGCG